rnacentral:rRNA from 1 species
GAUGAACGCUGGCGGCGUGCUUAACACAUGCAAGUCGAACGGGAAACCUUUUAAUGAAGCUUCGGCAGAUUUAGCUGGUUUCUAGUGGCGGACGGGUGAGUAACGCGUGGUUAACCUGCCUUAAUCAGGGGGAUAACAUUAAGAAAUGACUGCAAAUACCGCAUAAGCGCAAAGAACCGCAUGGUCCGGCUUGAAAAACUCCGUUGGUAUAAGAUGGAUCCGCGUGGGAUUAGGUUGUUGGUGGGGUAACGCCUCACCACGGCGACGAUCCAAAGCCGGGAUGAGAGGGUGAACGGCCACAUUGGGACUGAGACACGGCCCAGAAUCCUACGGGAGGCAGCAGUGGGGAAUAUUGCACAAUGGGGGAAACCCUGAUGCAGCGCCGCCGCGUGAAGGAAGAAGUAGCUCGGUAUGUAAACUUCUAUCAGCAGGGAAGAUAGUGACGGUACCUGACUAAGAAGCCCCGGCUAACUACGUG